rnacentral:rRNA from 1 species
CAGUAGCCGCGGUAAUACGAGGGGGGCUAGCGUUGUUCGGAAUUACUGGGCGUAAAGCGCGUGUAAGCGGGUCCUUAAGUCAGGGGUGAAAUGCUAAGGCUCAACCUUGGAACUGCCUUUGAUACUGGGGAUCUUGAGUCCGGGAGAGGUGAGUGGAACUGCGAGUGUAGAGGUGAAAUUCGUAGAUAUUCGCAAGAACACCAGUGGCGAAGGCGGCUCACUGGCCCGGAACUGACGCUGAGACGCGAAAGCGUGGGGAGCAAACAGGAUUAGAUACCCCGGUAGUCCCUGUCUCUUAUAC